rnacentral:rRNA from 1 species
CAAUAGCGUAUAUUAAAGUUGUUGCAGUUAAAAAGCUCGUAGUUGGAUUUGUGGUUCGUCCCGCCGGCUGGGUCAUUGACUUUUGCUGUGCUGGUCGUCCAUCCUUGGGUGGAAUCUGUGUGGCAUUAGGUUGUCGCGCAGGGGAUGCCCAUCGUUUACUGUGAAAAAAUUAGAGUGUUCAAAGCAGGCUUAUGCCGUUGAAUAUAUUAGCAUGGAAUAAUGAUAUAGGACCUUGGUACUACUUUGUUGGUUUGCGCACUGAGGUAAUGAUUAAUAGGGACAGUUGGGGGUAUUCGUAUUCCAUUGUAAGAGGUGAAAUUCUUGGAUUUUUGGAAGACGAACUACUGCGAAAGCAUUUACCAAGGAUGUUUUCAUUAA